GAAGCUCAACAAAACUUCCAACCUAGAAAUUGAAAAGAAACAGUUAUCCAAUGACGAAGCAAGCUAAUGAAAACCUUUGGUUAUAUUUUUUGUUUCUGAAAUCUCAGAGUUGAUUUUCCAGAAAUUUUCUUUACUAAAAUGAAAGUGAAGAACAGUGAACUCUCAGAAAUUAGUGUAAAUUAGUGAGGAAAAUGAAAAAAGGAAUUCUGAACUUUAGGGUGUUUUUGUGUGUGAUGUCUGUGUGAGUGAAGGGAAUAUGAGGCCUCUUAUAUAGGCAAACGGUGAGGGAAUAAUUCUUGGGAAUGCGGUCCCUAAAAAUAAGGAGAAAGGAUAUUUUUUCUAACCAAUUUUCUACUGAUGUCCCUUUUUAUAAGAUAUUAUCCUAUUUUCAGCAUUUUUUAAAACUGAAAAUGGACAGUUGUCCAAUACUAUAAGCUUCUUUUGGUUUUCAAACUUCUAAAAAUAACCCUUCUUACCCCAGAUUUUGACUCAAAUUCCUUGUUUUAUUACCCUAAGUUUUAAGUUCCCUUAAACCCACCUCAAGUUUCAAUUAAGACAUAAAAAAAAAACACAAACACACUGAUGUGAACAAACAUUAACCAACCAAAUUAUUUAACAAGUUAAUUGAUAACUUAUGCAACUAAAAACACUAACUGAAUCCGGCCAGAACAGAAAACCAAAUGAAAAUGAUAAUCAAAAAGAUAUUAAUCUUAAAUCAUACAAUUAACUUAAAUAUUGAACUAUGCCUAACUAAUUAUUCAAAAGAAAAAAACAGAAAAAGAAACAAGAAAAAGGAAAAAGGUAAGUAUACUAAUUUGACAGUAAGUGAGUCAACGAUUGAUGCGAAUCAACGAGCGAUGAUGGCGACGAAGCUUGGCCGGUCAGUGGUGACUUGGCCAGAAUCCAACGGGUUUAGAAAUGAACGAAAUUAACAUGAAUUGAUUGCUUGUAUCAAGAGCAAUCGACUCAUGUAAGUUUGAGUCAAAACAUGCUUGAAAUUUUCAGAAAAAAUCAUAUUUAGGUUUAUGAUUUUCUUAGAUUUGAAAUUGACCGAAUUUGGUGGGUAUUUUGGAGAAGAUGAUGAUGUAUUAGGGUUGAGGGGAAGAUGGGGAGUGUAUGGUGUAAUUUUGGGAUGGUUUGGAGUGGCACCGCCGCCGUGGGCGAUUUUCGGCGACGGUGGGCGGCUACGGCUUCUCUGAGUUAAGAGAGACAGAGAAUGAGAGAGUCUUGGGGAGGGGGGG
rnacentral:lncRNA from 1 species